AUACGAAGGGUGCUAGCGUUGUUCGGAAUUACUGGGCGUAAAGAGCAUGUAGGCGGAUUGAUUAGUCAGAGGUGAAAGCCCCGAGCGCAACUUGGGAAUUGCCUUUGAUACUGUCAAUCUAGAGACCGAGAGAGGUGAGUGGAAUUCCCAGUGUAGAGGUGAAAUUCGUAGAUAUUGGGAAGAACACCAGUGGCGAAGGCGGCUCACUGGCUCGGUACUGACGCUGAGAUGCGAAAGCGUGGGGAGCAAACAGGAUUAGAAACCCUAGUAGUCC
rnacentral:rRNA from 1 species